AUUGAACGCUGGCGGCAUGCCUUACACAUGCAAGUCGAACGGUAACAGGUCUUCGGAUGCUGACGAGUGGCGAACGGGUGAGUAAUACAUCGGAACGUGCCUAGUAGUGGGGGAUAACUACUCGAAAGAGUGGCUAAUACCGCAUGAGAUCUACGGAUGAAAGCAGGGGAUCGCAAGACCUUGUGCUACUAGAGCGGCCGAUGGCAGAUUAGGUAGUUGGUGGGAUAGAAGCUUACCAAGCCGACGAUCUGUAGCUGGUCUGAGAGGACGAUCAGCCACACUGGGACUGAGACACGGCCCAGACUCCUACGGGAGGCAGCAGUGGGGAAUUUUGGACAAUGGGCGAAAGCCUGAUCCAGCAAUGCCGCGUGCAGGUUGAAGGCCUUCGGGUUGUAAACUGCUUUUGUACGGAACGAAAAGCCCCGGGUUAAUACCCUGGGGUCAUGACGGUACCGUAAGAAUAAGCACCGGCUAACUACGUGCCAGCCGCCGCGGUAA
rnacentral:rRNA from 1 species